rnacentral:rRNA from 1 species
AGCAGCCGCGGUAAUUCCAGCUCCAAUAGCGUAUAUUAAAGUUGUUGCAGUUAAAAGCUGUAGUUGAACUUCGGGGUUUACCCAUUGGUCAGGCUUAAUUGUCUGCACUGGUGAGAUGAUCUCUACCUUCUGAGGAACUUUCAUGCCAUUUAUUUGGUGUGAUGGGAAAUCAGGACUUUACUUUGAAAAAUUAGAGUGUUUAAAGCAGGCUAACGUCUGAAUACAUUAGCAUGGAAAAUGAA